GACGAACGCUGGCGGCGUGCUUAACACAUGCAAGUCGAACGGAAAGGCCCCUUUGGGGGUACUCGAGUGGCGAACGGGUGAGUAACACGUGAGUAACCUGCCCUUGACUUCGGGAUAACUUCAGGAAACUGGGGCUAAUACCGGAUAGGAAUCCUUGCUGCAUGGUGGGGGUUGGAAAGCUUCGGGGGUUUUGGAUGGACUCGCGGCUUAUCAGCUUGUUGGUGGGGUAGUGGCUUACCAAGGCUUUGACGGGUAGCCGGCCUGAGAGGGGGACCGGCCAAAUUGGGACUGAGAUACGGCCCAGACUCCUACGGGAGGCAGAAGUGGGGAAGAUUGAACAAUGGGCGGAAGCCUGAGGCAGAAACGCCGCGGGCGGGAUGACGGCCUUCGGGUUGUAAACCGCUUUCAGCAGGGGCGAAGCUUGUGGUGACGGUACCUGCAGAAGAAGCACCGGCUAACUACGUG
rnacentral:rRNA from 1 species